rnacentral:ncRNA from 1 species
AGAAAUGCUUUGAUAAGGAAUAGUAUACAGGAACCAGAGCGCAGAGAGCUGUCGGUCGGUGUAAGACAGCGGAAGGAAUCUGUAGAACUCGCCUUGGAGCAGCUGCUUGAAAUUGCCCGUACAUAUUUCGGUUGUCGGCAAGAGUAGACGCAGACGGCUUCCACCGUUACCAGGAGAGGAUAUAAGGAGUGAUCCCGUAUCCGUUGAGUGUAUGAUUUUUCAUGAAAUAAGAGUGGUACCGCGUAGGACAUAAUGUCUUCCGUCUCUUGC